ACACCCACGCCAGCUGUGUCUUUGCACUAAGCAAGGGUUGUAAGAGAUGUCCUAAGACCAACUACACAGAGUGUUUCCCAGGCUUUCUCCGAGCUUUGCAAGACCAACAGGCGCCCUCCAUCACAUGUCCUCUGCUGCUUUCUUCAUAUUGCCAUGCUGUCUUCAAAGGGCGCAUGGACAUCCAGGAGAUGGAUGCUCUGCAAAGCACCUAUGCCUGCAGGGAAAGCCGAAGGCGAAGAGCUGUGUCCUGGUGGCUAUUGCUUCUGUAACAACCACUCAGAUGAGAGAAGCUGAGAUCUUCCUGCUACCAUGGAAAGAAUCCUAGGGAAGAAGACCCAGGGAGAAGGGAGUUGAGAGGUGAGCUGUUCCAAUGAGUGCUGUGCGCCAUCACCAAUGCUUCAGAAGGAAGUAUGGCCUGCCCUCAGUCCUCCUCUGAGCCAACAAGAAAAUCAAAUAUACUAUUUUUAAAGGACUUCCCACGUUUUCCUCAGUGCCCCCGUGCUGCAGCUCUUCUUCAGGCUGGAAUGGUUGGGGUUCCUUCUGCAUCCAUCUGAUGUAGUGGCAUCUCAAAGGCUUUGCGCAGGUGAGAUGGGCACCAGGAGCAUGGGGGGCACAGGGGAAGCCAGGACACGAGUCACAAUCUGUACCUACAUGCUGAAUACGUACACAUGCACUGUAAUGCUGUGGUGCAAGAGCUCUGCUCUGAGCUUGGAUUGGAGCCCAGCAGCUUGGCUUCUCCCUAGAAGGAUGGCAAGGACCAGCUUUAAGCCAAGGAAAGAUUCAAAUGGGGAUGCUCAGCCAUCCAGCUGGUGGGCUGGGAGGGGGAAGCUGUGGUCCCUCCUGCUGUCUCCUGGCAGAUUUUAGAUUGGAUAUUAGAGAACAUUUCUUCUCUGAAAGGGCAGUGAUGCAGUGGCACAGAUGCCCAGGGAAUGGGAAGUUCUACAUCCCUGGAGGUGUUCAAGAAGCAUGGAGAUGUGGCACUGAAGGAUAUGGGCAGUGGGCAUGGUGUGGUGGGCUGGGGGUCUUAGAGGUCUUUUCCAAACACAGCAGUUGUAUGAUUCUAUGAUUGCCACGCUCAGAGCACACCACUGGUCCCCAGACACGAUCGCCUGUGCAUGGUCAUUGGGGACAUCUCUCUGUCAUUACUGCCACCUCAGGGAGGUGCUGGAGGGCACACCAUGACCACAAAGACUCAGGCUGCUCUGGAAAAACGUAGGAGCCUUGGUUGUUCCUUUCACAGAAGCUGUGCCAAAACCUGCUUAAAUUUCCCCAGGAGAUUGGUUGCCUCAGUAAAUGACUCAGCCUACGCCUGGGGCUAAUAGCCAAUAUACAGCUAUUAUUAAACUUUCGUGUUAUUUUGAAGGUAAACAGCAUUUUGAUUUGUUGUGGUUUUAAUUUAAAUUAAGGUCCGUAAUUGGAUAGUGCAGAGCAGCCUUCUGUUUCAGGAACAUGAUAGCAGUGAAUCUGUCUCCUCUCACAGAGCAGAGCCUUGCUCUUAUCUGCACU
ensembl:lncRNA